rnacentral:rRNA from 1 species
GAUGAACGCUGGCGGCGUGCCUAAUACAUGCAAGUAGAACGAUGAAGAGAGGAGCUUACUCCUCUUGGAUGAGUUGCGAACGGGUGAGUAACGCGUAGGUAACCUGCCUUGUAGAGGGGGAUAACUACUGGAAACGAUAGCUAAUACCGCAUAACAAUGGAUGACACAUGUCUUUAAUUUGAAAGGGGCAAUUGCUCCACUACAAGAUGGACCGGCGUUGUAUUAGCUGGUAGGUGAGGUAAUGGCUCACCAAGGCAACGAUCCAUAGCCGACCUGAGAGGGUGUCCGGCCAAACUGGACUUGGGCAACGGCCAAGACCCCUACGGGGGGAGGCGUAAGGGAUCUUCGGGCAUGGGGGGAAAGCUUACCGGGGCACCGCGGGUGGGGUGAUAAAGUUCUUCGGUCCGUAAGCCCUUGUUAAUGUGGAAGACGGGAUGUGUAAUUGACUGUGCACGUUGUGACGGUAGCUUACCAGAAAGCGACGGCUAACUACGUG